rnacentral:rRNA from 1 species
AUGGGGUCGAUUGGUAACAGGAUACCCGAAGUUGGUAUGCGGUUCAGAAAUUCGGAUGAGGCUUGGGAGUUUUGGGUGCAAUAUGGAGGUCACAUAGGCUUUGAUGUGAGGAAAAGAAAUACCAUCAAAAGCAGAAUUGAUGGAACAAUCAUUUCAUGUAGGUUUGUUUGUUCCAAUGAAGGCAUUCGAAGGAAAAGUCAAAUAGAUCACGAGCCGAAGCGCAUUAGAGCAGAAACAAGAACCAAUUGUAAAGUUCGGAUGAUUGUUUCAUUUGAUCGAGUGGCCAAACUUUUUGAAGUCACCGAAGUUGAUUUGGAACACAAUCACCUCCUUCAAUUACCACAAACCUAUCACUUGUUGGCAUCACAAAGGAAGAUUUCGGAUGUGCAAGCUUUAGAGAUAGAAACAGCCGAUGAUUCUGGAAUUAUGCCAAAAGCUUCACAU